ensembl:misc_RNA Y_RNA Y RNA
GGCUGGUUCAAGUGCACUGAUGUUUAUAACUAAUUAAUCACAACCAAUCUGUAGAUUUCUUUAUUCCUUCUCUACUCCCACUGCUUCACUUGACUAGCCUAAC